UUGUGGAGGAGGACGCCGAAGGUGGGGCUAAUGACUGGGGUGAAGUCGUAACAAGGUAGCCGUACCGGAAGGUGCGGCUGGAUCACCUCCUAACAGGGAGACAACAAAAUGUUUAAUAUUAUUAUUUUGUCACCUUAGGUCGAUCGGUAUCUCACGUUCUUAAUUAAUUAAGGAUUUCAAUUUCUAAGUUUUUCUAGGUCACACCCAUUAUUUUUCCUGGGCCAUUAGCUCAGGUGGUUAGAGCGCACCCCUGAUAAGGGUGAGGUCCCUGGUUCAAGUCCAGGAUGGCCCAUAUCUCUAUGUUGGGGGUAUAGCUCAGUUGGUAGAGCGCCUGCUUUGCAAGCAGGAUGUCAGCGGUUCGAGUCCGCUUACCUCCACUGAUUACCACCUCUUCCAUAAUUUUUACAAGGGAAAUGUUUUGAGUUGUGAUCAAAUUCUGAACGAAUCUAGCUUCCUAAUGAAAGCAUUAAGAUGCUGGACUCAUUGAAUUAAUUUCAUUGUUUUCAGAGAACCUUGACAACUGCAUAGAUUAUUUUUUAAAGACAAUAAGCAUCUUUAAUGAUGCAGAUUUAUUAUUUGUGCGAAUGCAUUAAUAACAAUUCUAUUAAGCUGAUGCUUCAAUUUUGAAGUUAUUGGUCAAGCUACAA
rnacentral:misc_RNA from 1 species